UACGAAGGGGGCUAGCGUUGUUCGGAUUUACUGGGCGUAAAGCGCACGUAGGCGGAUUGGUCAGUUAGGGGUGAAAUCCUGGAGCUCAACUCCAGAACUGCCUUUAAUACUGCCAGUCUCGAGUCCGGAAGAGGUAAGUGGAACUCCUAGUGUAGAGGUGGAAUUCGUAGAUAUUAGGAAGAAUACCAGUGGCGAAGGCGGCUUACUGGUCCGGUACUGACGCUGAGGUGCGAAAGCGUGGGGAGCAAACAGG
rnacentral:rRNA from 1 species